CCUGGAGCUGCCAACUGUGGCCAGUGGGAGCCGCGAUCGCUUGGACAUGUAGAUGCGGCAGACAUUUCAUUAUGCUGUGGCAUUAAGAAUUAAAUACUGAGUGAAUGUGACUGAUCUGCUUAAACUUUGAUGGGAAAAGUUUAAGACCACAAGACUGAGGUCUCCAGGUCUACUCCGAAUUAACACUGCAAUUCUCGAGGAAGAAUUUUAACAUGCUCUGUACAUGGACUGCCUAUUAGACUAUAAUCUUUUUAAUUGAUUCCAGAAGGAUUUUUAUGAAUCAGCAGCUUCACCAUCUCUGCCAUGAAACUUACCUAGGGACUUUAUUCUAAUCUGUAUGUAUAUUGAUCUUUUAACCAUAGCAACUCUUUUUUCCUUUUUAUUAAUAAAUCUUAGAUUUAGUUCAUAA